rnacentral:misc_RNA from 1 species
GAUGAAGAACGUAGCGAAAUGCGAUAAGUAAUGUGAAUUGCAGAAUUCAGUGAAUCAUCGAAUCUUUGAACGCACAUUGCGCCCGCCAGUAUUCUGGCGGGCAUGCCUGUUCGAGUGUCAUUACAACCCUCAGGCCCCCGGGCCUGGCGUUGGGGAUCGGCGGAAGCCCCCUGCGGGCACAACGCCGUCCCCCAAAUACAGUGGCGGUCCCGCCGCAGCUUCCAUUGCGUAGUAGCUAACACCUCGCAACUGGAGAGCGGCGCGGCCACGCCGUAAAACACCCAACUUCUGAAUGUUGACCUCGAAUCAGGUAGGAAUACCCGCUGAACUUAAGCAUAUCAAUAAGCGGAGGA